GGCCUUUUAGUAUAUUGAUGUAUGUCUGACUUCCAAUCAGAAGGUAGAUUAGGUUA
rnacentral:tRNA from 2 species